rnacentral:rRNA from 1 species
CUACAGGACGCUGCAGACGAGAAUCUUCGGCAAUGGACGAAAGUCUGACCGAGCGACGCCGCGUGCGGGAUGAAGGCCUUCGGGUUGUAAACCGCUGUCAGAGGGGAUGAAAUUUUGACAAAUCCUCAGAGGAAGGACGGGCUAAGUUCGUGCCAGCAGCCGCGGUAAGACGAACCGUCCAAACGUUAUUCGGAAUCACUGGGCUUAAAGGGUGCGUAGGCGGCUUGGUAAGUUGGGGGUGAAAUCCCUCGGCUCAACCGAGGAACUGCGCUCAAAACUACCAAGCUUGAGGGAGUCAGAGGGGAGCGGAACGCAGGGUGGAGCGGUGACAUGCGUUGAUAUCCUGGGGAACACCGGUUGCGAAAGCUGCUCACUGGGGCUCUACUGACGCUGAGGCACGAAAGCUAGGGGAGCCAACGGGAUUAGAUACCCCGGUAGUC